CCUACGGGAGGCUGCAGUGGGGAAUAUUGGACAAUGGGGGGAACCCUGAUCCAGCCAUGCCGCGUGUGUGAAGAAGGCCCUCGGGUUGUAAAGCACUUUCAGUGAGGAAGAACGCCUGGUGGUUAAUACCCAUCAGGAAAGACAUCACUCACAGAAGAAGCACCGGCUAACUCCGUGCCAGCAGCCGCGGUAAUACGGAGGGUGCGAGCGUUAAUCGGAAUUACUGGGCGUAAAGCGCGCGUAGGUGGCUUGAUAAGCCGGUUGUGAAAGCCCCGGGCUCAACCUGGGAACGGCAUCCGGAACUGUCGAGCUAGAGUGCAGGAGAGGAAGGUAGAAUUCCCGGUGUAGCGGUGAAAUGCGUAGAGAUCGGGAGGAAUACCAGUGGCGAAGGCGGCCUUCUGGACUGACACUGACACUGAGGUGCGAAAGCGUGGGUAGCAAACAGGAUUAGAUACCCUAGUAGUC
rnacentral:rRNA from 1 species